AAAGCGGGGCNUAAUACCCGGAAUGAAAUCCAGUUAGCUUUGGCUAUAUGGAUCAAAGGUGGCCUCUGCAUGCAAGCUACUGUUUGGGGGAUGAGCCCGCGUACCCAUUAGCUUNGUUGGUGGGGUAAAGGCCCACCAAGGCGACGAUGGUUAGCUGGUCUGAGAGGAUGAUCAGCCACACUGGAACUGGAACACGGUCCAGACUCCUACGGGAGGCAGCAGUGAGGAAUUUUGCGCAAUGGGGGUAACCCUGACGCAGCAACGCCGCGUGAGUGAUGAAGGCCUUCGGGUCGUAAAGCUCUGUCAAGUGGGAAGAACCCAUUCCGGCACAACAAGCCGGGGUGCUGACGGUACCACUGAAGGAAGCACCGGCUAACUCCGUGCCAGCAGCCGCGGUAAUACGGAGGGUGCGAGCGUUAUUCGGAAUUACUGGGCGUAAAGGGCGCGUAGGCGGCCGAUUAAGUCAGAUGUGAAAUCCCGGGGCUUACCCCCGGAAGUGCAUUUUGAUACUGAACGGCUUGAGUAUGGGAGAGGGAAGUGGAAUUCCUGGUGUAGCGGUGAAAUGCGUAGAUAUCAGGAGGAACACCGGUGGCGAAAGGCGACNUUCCUGGGACCANAUACUGACGCUGAGGCGCCGAAGGCGUGGGGAGCAAACAGGAAUUAGAUACCCUGGUAGUCCACGCAGUAAACGGUGAUCACUAGGUGUAGCGGGUAUUGACCCCUGCUGUGCCGGAGUUAACGCAU
rnacentral:rRNA from 1 species